CAUCCUCAACCUUCUCGAUCUUUGCGAUCGGGGAAGGUUUGGACUUUGGGGGUUUAUGCUGGCCUCCUUCGAAGCCAGCUCCCCUUAAAUGGAUUAGUGGGGUUCGCUUUGCCGAUCCUCGACGUUGAUAAGAUGUUUCUACGUCUUGGGUUGGGCACUGUCUUUCGGGAACCUGCUUCUAACCGUCUCGCGAGAGACGACGCGUUUGAA
rnacentral:misc_RNA from 1 species